rnacentral:misc_RNA from 1 species
CCGAGUUUACAACUCCCAAACCCCUGUGAACAUACCUACUGUUGCCUCGGCGGAUCAGCCCGCUCCCGGUAAAACGGGACGGCCCGCCCGAGGACCCCUAAACUCUGUUUCUAUAUGUAACUUCUGAGUAAAACACAAAUAAAUCA